rnacentral:rRNA from 1 species
UACGGGGGGGGGCAAGCGUUGUCCGGAAUUAUUGGGCGUAAAGAGCUCGUAGGCGGUUUGUCGCGUCUGCUGUGAAAACCCGAGGCUCAACCUCGGGCCUGCAGUGGGUACGGGCAGACUAGAGUGCGGUAGGGGAGAUUGGAAUUCCUGGUGUAGCGGUGGAAUGCGCAGAUAUCAGGAGGAACACCGAUGGCGAAGGCGGGUCUCUGGGGCAGUAACUGACGCUGAGGAGCGAAAGCGUGGGGAGCGAACAGG